rnacentral:lncRNA from 1 species
AAGGAAGGAAGGAAGGAAGGAAGGAAGGAAGGAAGGAAGGAGAAAGAGAGCAGGCAGGCAGGCAGGCAGGCAGGCUUUGAGACAAAAGCCUUGUACUGUGCCUGUUUUUUCCCUGACACUUUGUAAGCAGUUGAAAGGUAGUGAAUGGACAGGUGAGUGUUCUGCCUCUGCCCAGCUCCUCUCUGUCACUAUGUGUGUCCAACCUCAGCCUGUGGACCACAUGUGACCCAGGGCUAAGGAGAGCUACAAAAACUGCUCAACAUAAACUCUCACUUCCCCAAAACAGGAGAUUGUUUGAGAUUUCCCCAAGGAUUGCACAGCAAGCACUUUACCAACAGAGGGACCGCCCGAGCUACAGAGACUCUCUCUCUUCAGUCUGCUUAGAGUUGGCCACAUGUGCAUGAAAGGAAAGGCGCCAAAAGAGUAAGCAGAGCGCUGGGGAGCGGCUCCAGUCAGAAGAGUGGAUUCCAGUCAGAAGAGCGCUUGCUUAUAUUUGAUUUUGCAGAACUCACAUUAAAAAGCUGCGUGUGGUGGUGCAAGUACUUGUAAUCUCAGAGCUGGGAAAGCCGAAACGCACAGCUAGACAGUCUCGGCAUAGCAAAAGGCUCAAGCGAAAGACGCUGUCUCAAAAACAACAAAAAAAAGUGAGGCUGCCGAGGUGCUCGUGGAUGACGGCAUUUGCAGAUAAGCAUGACGUCAUGGAUUUGAUCUCUGGAACGCACCAAGUGGAACAAGAGCACCAACGCCCUUGAGCUGUCCUCUGACAUCACAGUGGGUUGAGCAUUUCCCCGUUCCCACACAACAAACAAAUACAUGUAAUUUAAAAAAGAAAAAGAAAACAAGCUGGAAAGCAACUAAGGAACAACAUUGGAGG